AAAUCGUCACGUUUGGUCUGGAUGAUCCUGCAUGGUCAUAGCUGUCCCUCAAAGUUGAUAAAAAUGUUAUUGGAGUUUUUGGCUGGGCUCUGUUUAGGCCUCACUGCCGUAAUUUAACAUCAGACCCUAUAAAACUGUAACAUCAGAGUUGUUUGUUGUAGGUUUGGUUGUAGCGUAGGCUACCACCAAAAUCAUUCAGUUCAGAUUACUUUUUUGAUAUCUACUUUAUCGCUAAAACAUACUUACUAUUUGUACGUGAGAUGAACCUCUUCCACCACAAUUCCGAAAACGUUGUCUUGGAAGACCUUGGUGGCCAGCAUAUCUCGCCAUUCCUUGUAAAGAAGCCAGGAUUCAGGACUCCCGUAUACCAACUGGCACCGGCCGCUUCGAAUGUCCUCCUGGUCGCCUUUGCCAAUUUGCAUGGCCUUCAGUCCAAAUUUUGUAGCCUCCUUUAACUUGUCCUCCAUAAGCGCUAUCAGUGGUGAGGGAACAAUCACAAGCGGGUUGUGGCAUAUGGCGAGUCCCAUGCGUUUUCCCACCAGCGGAGCUAGUUGGUAGAUCAAACUUUUGCUGUAUCUGGUCGGCAAAACAUCAAAUACAUCCUUCUUUUGUGAGAAUGACCUCAAUGCAGUUUCUUCUUCUUUUCUCGUCAUUAUGUUAAGCCCGCCCACUGACUCUAUACACAAUGUGAUUGGCCUGACGAGAGUUUUGUUUUGACAGCUCGCAUGCGUCUAGAUUUCUAGACUAGUGUAAGACCCUUGUGAAAGAAGGAUAUGCAGCUUUCAAGUGACAAAAAACGGCUAAUUCCCAAGUUUACAUUAACACUGUUGGACAUGAAAGGCCACCUGGAUUACAAACAAACAACGUGACUGCGAAAGUGACAACGAGCCCUCAACUGGGCAACUCCGUUAGCAAAAUCUAGCCUUAGUUUCUCACCUCUUAUUCCCACAUUAAGUGAAGUGAAGUGAAUGAUGAUGAUUUCACUAGGAAAAAAGUUUUUUCCCGUGCCCAUGAACGUUCCGUUAACCCCUACUGGUAACUUCUACCAGAGUCUGUUCUCUUUUUCUACUCUUUGGAUCAGUGCUAGUAGGCUAAUCAAAUAUCUACCAUCGUCCAUCGCAAAGAAUUAAGCUAAACUUAGUGGAGAGUGACUAUGUCUGAUAACGACUGCUGCCGAAUGUGUGAAACAAAUGUACACAUCCAAGGUAGAAUUAUCAAUUCAAAGCAAAUAUUCGACAGUAAGGACAAAGAUGGGAGUAUAUGGAGUCAACUGUCAAAAUUAGGUCUAGUUCUGCACAACAUGCUACUUCAGUCAGUCGUCGCAAAUGCUGCACUGUAAUUGUAAGGUUACAGCCAGCAUGGACAUUUUUCACAAUAAGAAGAAAAAAGAGACACUCAACACCUGGCCGGAGACAACACACCCUCCAAAACCCCAAGGAGCGUAAAAAAAGUCCAGGAGGCUGACAUACCAUCACAGAGUGUGAUUGAGGUUGAUGCUGAUUUGUUCAUGGAGUGUAUGGAGGAGGAAUUGGAACCAUGGCAGCAGAUACACAAGAACAAAGAGUUGUGAGAAGCAGAACUAAAGCAAGUUACUAGAAAGCCUGCAGUGGUGACUCGUGUCCUUGUCCCUGCCUCUGCCCCAGCCCCUGCUCCUGCUCCAGUGUCAUCCACUCACGUGGUGCUAUCAGGCCAGGCUUUAUCUGGCAACACAGGCAGCAGCAAAGACACGGCGGUGCCCCUGCUCACCAACACACCAUCUCUCCUCACCCCCAUGGCUUCAGUUCCGGUCACAGCUCUGCCUUCUGGUUUUCUGCUGGUUGUAAACCAGUUGUGAAUACCAAUACUUCCUGUUACCUCAAAAUGAUGAAGGAAGAAAGCAGCGAAGUGCAGUAUCCCAUUGUGCUUACUCUUCAGACUAUGAUGGAUGCUUCAUUUAAAGAAAAACAGUGCUUUACUUUUCCAUGAUGGGGGCGUAUCCUUUCUCUAACCAGUCCUUGGACUUUCCUGGCCAGGAUCACUGCAGUGAGAGGCCAGGUUGGAGCUGAAGUUGUUGACGGCAACAGCAAGUGUGGACAGGUCGGAUAAACAUCUGAUGCAUAAUGUUAAGCAUCAUGAGAAAGAAGCAGGCCACGCAAUGGACAUCAGUCACAACAGUGCCAUUUGAAGACGGGGAAGUAGAUCUCUGUUGGAAAACAGGCUGUUGACACUUCUGAAAUUCAGAUGUCAAAAAAAUAAAAAGGGAUCUCUGAAAAAAAGUUUGGAUGAGUAAGAUUUUCAAUAAAAGAUAUUUAAUUUCUUAA